rnacentral:rRNA from 1 species
CAUAGGCCUCAAAUAAUGUGUGAC